GCAUUCCCUCUAUCUGCUCGCCUCCGGUACAGCGGCCGCCGUUCACCCUCUCUAAGUCUCUAUCAACGUGUCCUGCUUGAGUUGCUUCCGGCGGUCCGAUCGACUCCAUCGCCAGCAUGCCACCUAGGGUUCGUGGGCCGCCAGGCCCUCCGUCUCUCCGGCAGACGGCACCAAGAAGGCAAGAACCGCCACCGCACACACGCAGCCUGUGUGUGUGAAAGAUUGUUUCUCUUUGCCCUCUGGUCCGUCAUAGUCCUGGGCAUCAGAGUUCAAAUUAAUAAUACUUAAAAUCAAGGUAGCACAUGAGGCUGCAGAGGCGAGCAGGUGCUUCUUGCUGAACGAGCCGAGUGAUGUGCUCUUUCCUAAGGCCAUAAUCUGUUCAGGGACCACAUCUCAUCGGAUUCAAAGAGAUAACCGCAUGUGGUAGACACCGGAGCAAGUUGAAGAACCAACACUAGCAAGUAGCAACAUGUGAAGAAGAAACACUAUAUGGCACUAUAAACAUUUGACUGUUCAAGGCAUCAUUACAUCCACUCCGAACCGCUGACCUUUGGGGAAUGUCUUGUUUCUCCAUGAAGUUCAGUUAUGGAGAUAAUACCAUUUCAUUCAUGUACUGACGACGACCUUAUUUGUUAUGUCCAUAGCUACUUCCUUUUCUUUUUGAAAAACAAGGUAGACAGAGCAGAGCAAGAUUAUUUCAUGCAGUUAGCCAUUGGUCUGUCUGAAUGAUGA